UACGUAGGGUGCAAGCGUUAAUCGGAAUUACUGGGCGUAAAGCGUGCGCAGGCGGUUAUUUAAGACAGAUGUGAAAUGCCCGGGCUUAACCUGGGAACUGCAUUUGUGACUGCAUGGCUAGAGUUUGGCAGAGGGGGGUAGAAUUCCACGUGUAGCAGUGAAAUGCGUAGAUAUGUGGAGGAACACCGAUGGCGAAGGCAGCCCCCUGGGUCAAGACUGACGCUCAUGCACGAAAGCGUGGGGAGCAAACAGG
rnacentral:rRNA from 1 species